rnacentral:lncRNA from 1 species
AGGAUCGUCUCCAUACCCCGUCCGGUAUGGGCGCCAAAACAUAUAAGGUCUCUAUACCCCGUCCGGUAUGAGGGUGAAAUGGGCCGUCCCCAUACCCCGUCCGGUAUGGGCGCCAAAACACAUAAGGUCUCUAUACCCCGUCCGGUAUGAGAGACCACGUUCCCGGUAGGGUUCCCUACGGACCCGGUCCGUCCACCAUCUCCCAGGAUACCUAGUCAGGCUGUCCACAUUAUCCGUUUGCCAAUUCACAUAACCUUUUAUCCCUUUUUCUUUAGUCACCAUCAUCAAGUCACACACAAACAUGCAAACCAGUAGUUCAUGCCAACAAGACAACACACAAUAUCGGGUUCUCAGUCAUUCAGUCCAUAAUCAAUGAAACAGUGAUACAUGCACACGAAACUAUGAAAUAAAAACAUCAGACAUCAUACUGCAUUUAAAACCGUAAAAUAGAACAAACAACAAUUGACCGACAAAUACACUAGACUCGGGCUCUAUUAGCAACCUUAAACAAUUUCACACAGCUAUUGAUUCAUGAAAUACCAUUUUAUCAUUAUUGCACUUUAAUACCGUGAUAGAAAAUAGGGUGAGAAAUUCUUACUUGUUUUCGGAACCCGAAAUAGGCUUUUCCGAGCGCUGCGGGUUAUCCCUAAAUUUCGUGAAU